rnacentral:rRNA from 1 species
GAUGAACGCUGGCGGCGUGCUUAACACAUGCGAGUCGAACGGUGAAGCAGGAGCUUGCUCUUGUGGAUCAGUGGCGAACGGGUGAGUAACACGUGAGCAACCUGCCCCUGACUCUGGGAUAAGCGCUGGAGACGGCGUCUAAUACUGGAUAUGUGAUGUGACCGCAUGGUCUGCAUCUGGAAAGAAUUUCGGUUGGGGAUGGGCUCGCGGCCUAUCAGCUUGUUGGUGAGGUAAUGGCUCACCAAGGCGUCGACGGGUAGCCGGCCUGAGAGGGUGACCGGCCACACUGGGACUGAGACACGGCCCAGACCCCUACGGGAGGCAGCAGUGGGGAAUAUUGCACAAUGGGCGGAAGCCUGAUGCAGCAACGCCGCGUGAGGGAUGACGGCCUUCGGGUUGUAAACCUCUUUUAGCAGGGAAGAAGCGAAAGUGACGGUACCUGCAGAAAAAGCACCGGCUAACUACGUGCCAGCCGCCGCCGUAA